ACACAUGCAAGUCGAGCGAGAACCAGGACUUCGGUCCUGGGGACAGCGGCGAACGGGUGAGUAACACGUGGGUAAUCUGCCCUCGAUUCUGGGAUAGCCCGGGGAAACCCGGAUUAAUACCGGAUAGCCUUUCGAGCCUUCGGGCGCGAAAGAAAAGGUAGCUUCGGCCUCCGAUCGAGGAUGAGCCCGCGGUGGAUUAGCUUGUUGGCGGGGUAAUGGCCCACCAAGGCGACGAUCCAUAGCUGGUCUGAGAGGACGAUCAGCCACACUGGGACUGAGACACGGCCCAGACUCCUACGGGAGGCAGCAGUGGGGAAUCUUGCGCAAUGGGCGAAAGCCUGACGCAGCGACGCCGCGUGGGGGAAGAAGGCCUUAGGGUUGUAAACCUCUUUCAGGUGGGACGAAGCCACUCGGGUUAAUAGCCCAGAGGGUGACGGUACCGCCAGAAGAAGCCCCGGCUAACUACGUGCCAGCAGCCGCGGUAAUACGUAGGGGGCAAGCGUUGUCCGGAUUUAUUGGGCGUAAAGAGCGUGUAGGCGGCCAGGUAGGUGGGUUGUGAAAACUGGAGGCUCAACCUUCAGACGUCGACCCAAACCCCCUGGCUAGAGUCCGGAAGAGGAGAGUGGAAUUCCUGGUGUAGCGGUGAAAUGCGCAGAUAUCAGGAAGAACACCCGUGGCGAAGGCGGCUCUCUGGGACGGUACUGACGCUGAGACGCGAAAGCGUGGGGAGCGAACAGGAUUAGAUACCCUGGUAGUCCACGCCGUAAACGAUGGGUGCUAGGUGUGGGGGGUGUCGACUCCCCCCGUGCCGAAGCUAACGCAUUAAGCACCCCGCC
rnacentral:rRNA from 1 species